CUAGAUUUGAAUCCCAGCACUGCUGCUGAUGAGCUGUGUAAUCUUGGGAAAGUACUUCACUCCCUGGAAUCUCAGGUUCUGCCUCAGCAAAAUGAGGGUAUUGCUCACCUCACAUUGCACAGUCAUAGUAAUGAGGUAAGAUCUUCCGUGUAAAGUGACUGUAUGGUCCAGCGUGUGGCAAGCUCUCCAUGAGUAACAGCUGUUGCUAUUUCAGCUCCACCAGAUGCUGUGUCUUAUAGUGAACCAGGAGAGAAUUUUGGAGAGAACACGCAUGAUAAAGCCCCCUGGGAAAAGUCACAGCAAAAUCUCUCAAACCUGAGCUGGAAAAGAAAAGAGUUAGAAAAAAGGGUCGUGCUCUGUCGCCAGGCUGCAGUGGCACGUGGCACGUGCAGUGGCACGAUCUCGGCUCACCACAACCUCCGCCUGUCAGGUUCAAGUGAUUCUCCUGCCUCAGCCUUCCGAGUAGCUAGUACUACAGGCGCACACCACCAUGCCUAGUUAAUUUUUUUGUAUUUUUAGUAGAGACGAGAUUUCACCAUGUUGGUUAGGAUGGUCUUGAUCUCCUGACCUCAUGAUCUGCCAGCCUCAGCCUCCCAAAGUGCUGGGAUUACAAGUGUGAGCCACCGUGCCCGGCCUUUAGCUUCUACUUUAUGGUCUGAUUCCCGCAAUCCCCUCCAUGUUCCAGCCAGCAGGCAAGAAGAAGGAACAAAAAAAGAGUGCACUCGCUUUUUUCAAGAACACCUCCUGAAAGUCGAAUACAUUGCUUUCACUUAUAACUCAUCAGCUAAAACUUAGUCACAUGGCUAGACCUAGUUGCAAGGGAGGUUGGGAAAUGUAGUGUUUAUUGUGGGAGGUCAUUUACCCCACUAAAAAUCCGGGCUUCUGAUACGAAGGAAGUAAAGAAUGGCUUUGGGACCAAACAACCAGCAAUUUCUGCUUUUGGUGUGAAAUAGCGUGCCCAGAGUUUCUCAGUUGUGCCCUGUCUGCAGAAGACACUGCAUACCCCAGAGGCAAGUAGUAAGGACAGGGUGGGGGGCCGGAAGGGUGGGAGCUUAGCAUAAUGUCCACCCUCAAAUUUGGGAGGUGGCUGUAGGGUUCCCGGCUGGCUCUCCUGCAAUUCCAGUUACUUUGCCAGGAGCCUGGAGGACUCAGCUAACUGCCUGAAUCUUCACUGCCACCUGGCUUUAGCCAGUGGUCACUGGUACUGAAGCCUGUUGCAGCCUGCAAGCCGGAGCGGAGAGGAAAAAUUUCAAAGUCAGUGUUGAAAUCAUCAGGAGGAGUAAAAAGUAGAGCCAUUUUUAUUUCUUUCCAGGUCCCUGACCUCAGUUUCUCUUUGAGAGUGGUGGAUUUGUGGUUCAGCUAAUAUUUAGUGAGCAUCUACUUUAUGCAAGACCCCAGAUAGGCCCGAGGCAAUACAGACUUGAGUGGACAGGGUCCUACUUUCAGGAUCAUAGAUGUGUACACAGAUAACUCUACGGCAAGGCCCCGGAAAAGGUAAAGUGAGGUGGGCAAUCAGCCUAGGGGGUUGGGGGAACAUUCAGGAAACAGAAGGCAUUUGAGCUUGGCUUGGAGGAGCAGUUGGAAUAGUGAUUAGAGUAACUUGGGGAAAUGGUCAAAGGGCACCCCAAAGAAAGAAAAGAAGAGCAGAAAGGGCCUGAGAAAAAGUAAUUAACGUAGAACCAUUGGAGUUUAUGGAGGCUGUGUGGUGUGUGUGUGUAGUGUGUAUGUGCAUGUUUUUAGAAUGGACAUGGGCAUGGAGAUGGGGUGGAAUGAGAUGAGAGAAAAAACUGGGAAAGUAGUUUGAAGUAGCUCGCAGCAGGCUGUACAUGCUAGAAUAAGAACCCCAGGCUUUAUUAUGUAGAAAGGAGAAAGUCAUCAAAAAAUUUUGAAAGGGGGUAACAUAAUAGGCUUCCCUUUCUGUCAUAUAUAUAUAUAUAUAUAUAUACAUAUUUUUUUUAAUAUAAAGCAGCAGACAUUCUCUAAGAGGGCCAAACACCAACACAAGUCACAAUAGAGAGGGCUUAUUAUCGGCAUUUUCAGUUUUCCAUUUACAGACAUUCUAUAGUUAGAUGAUGACAAAUUUCCAUGGGAAAAGCUCAAAGUGUGGAAUGAGCAUAGUUCUGUUCCCAUCUGAAUAGGUUGUCACUAGCCAAGGUCACUGGGGAGGAGGCUCUAGAGACUUGUCCAGAUACAGCUUCUCUCUCUGUGGGUUAGACUUAGCCUGACUCCCCAGGAGCAGGGCAGCCUCACCUGAAUGGUAGCUGAGCAGGGCACUGAGCAGGGAGGGACAAGAGCUUCCUCUGCCCAAGCCCAGGGCACCUGGAAAGCCAGCCUCCUCUCCUGGAGGAAAGGAGGAGAUUGAGAGGGUGACCCGGGGUGGUGGACAACUGCAUCCCUCAUGUUCUCUGCCACUUCCACCUACACUGUUGCAGUGUCUGAGAAACUUAUCAGAACAAGUUCUCCUGUCCAUUAAAUAGCAUUUAAUCCUCCGAGGAGCCUUAAGAAUUGGGAAUAUGCUACAUUUUACUCUGGAAAAUAUGUUUAGUUUUUUGGUACUCACUGAAAACCUGGUGCAUGGGAGACUGAAAAAAAUAAAAUGAUGUUUUAUGCACAUGAAAGCAGCAAGUUAUGUCAGUUACUUCAUCUGUUACCAAGGAUUUGGGAAUUUUAGAGGCUCACUGGGUAAAAGCAGACUUUAUUUUCAUUUCCUAGACUGAAACAAUAUAGGGUUGUGAGAAGUUUAACUGUAAUUUUUUUGUCAUUGUUUAAAGCUGCAACUUUGAACAUUGUGCUGAAACUUAGAUCUGAGAGAUCAGCAGAUCUAUAUAGUAGCAUCUGAUUUGUCAGGGAUCAUCAGGGGAUGAGGCAUUUCAGAGAAAUAAAAUAUUCCAGUAUUUAAAUCAUAUCUCUUGAGGGUCUUAAUGUUUGUGUUAAUCAUUUUUUGAUGUAAGAGUUUCCCAAAUCUCCAGCUAACCCACUGCCUUGUGAAACAAGAAUGCAGUAUCAGAUCCCAUUUGCCCUGCUGAUUUAAGAGCAUUUGUAUGAAAGCCAGUUAUCAGAUCAUUCUGAUGCACUGCCCUCUGAGGCUACCAAAACUUGUUGGGUGUUUACCCCUGUCUUCAGCGGACCCAUUUGUCAUCAUCCUAUAAUUCUGUUAGCCAUAAGUACCCCCAGUAUAUUUUCCUGGGCAAGAAUGUGGUAUUUCUGUCUGGUGUUGGCAUUAGAGGAUCUCCAUCCGAGUGACAGUUGGGUUUGUUUAGGCUUGCUUUGAUUAGCCUUGCUUGCUUGUAAUGUGAAGUCCAAAGAUCAGAAUUCAAGUUCCAUUUCUUUCUCUUCUCCUUGUAUGAUCUUGGACAAGUUAUCAGCCCCUCUAUACCUGGGUUUGCCCGCUAACAAAAAUGGUCAUAAUAAUACCCAGCCCAGGGCUGAGAAUGAAGCUGUAUCAUAAAUACAAUGUGUUAUACAAAUGGUAGUUCAUUUCACUACAAAAUACCUGCUCAUGCCCAACUUCACCUUAGGCAUAUAAUUGAUCAGGAGUGAGUUGUUGAGAGCACUUCUGAGUUUUAAAUAACAUGGAGAGGGGCUGUUUAUUGAAGGGAUAACUGUGGCAGAUGCAGCAGGAAGGCUCUAAGGGGAAAGCGUCUCCCCUAAAUUUCCUAUUAUGCAACUUAGUGUCCAGAACACUGUGGUGGUUGAGAAUCAGGGUUCAGCAGAAUAUGCAAAUUGCCUUUCCUUUCAUCAGGACACAAAGAAAGAAAUGAGCCCCCAAAAUAUCUCUCAGAAGUGACAUGGGUUUAUCAUUUCCAUUAUCCUUGACACUUUUCAGGGGUUAAAUGUCUCUGGCUAGGCGCAUGUUAUUAUUUGAGUAUUACUAGCCCUUUAAGAGCCUCGACACUUCUGGAAAGCAGCCCGUGGAGCUGCUUCAGCACCGAGUGGGUCUGAGCUACAAGAGGGUGACCGCUAAUCCUAAUUCUAACCCCAACCUGAAUUUAUGAGGUCCUGCUGGUACGCAGAGGGAGGACUGGAGGGACCAGUCAGGUUGGCCAGCUGGCCCAGUGGUAUAGGGAGCCGUUGGAUUGGGGUUUGUCACAUAAACUGGGACCCUGCCCAAAGCCGAGACGUCGUAAGAUUCCCCUGUUUUGCACAACCCUGUGGUAGUAGCCACAUCCUUAUUGUGUAAACUCAGGUUUAACCACAGAACAACCAGCUUAUGCCUUGUUAGAUGAGGAGGAGCUUAACCCACUGAAGAGUACUUUCUUUUAAUAAGGAGAGACAACUUCAAAAAAAAUUGUUUUAGGGGCCCCCAAAAUUUCAGAUGAGGACACUAUGAAGAUUUUGAGUCUUGCAAGCUGUGUGAUUAAAAUGAUCAAGUGAUUAAAAUGCUGUUUUAAUGCUAUUAUAAAAUGGUAUUUUAGUUUGGACACAUCCUUAGAAAGACUCCUUCCGCAGAAAAACUGACGCAGCAAUUUGUAGAGGGAACUCACAGGUGUUCCAUGAACUGAAUCACUACAUGGGGGAUUUUUAAAAGCUGGAUUGGGGGAGCAGUGGAUGGUAGAAUGAAUCCUUUAUCUUGAAGAUAUAGCAAAAGUAAAUACAAAUUAUACAGCUUGUAAGAUUAAUGCUUUUGAAUCAUAAAAAAUAAACACAAAAUUCUUGUGGCUUAGUUGCAUAAAGAUAAGCAAUUCAAAGUCCAUAUCUUUAAUGAUAGCCUUUUUUCUGUCGUAAGUAAAGACUGCAUCAAGGAAUUAAUGCAAACACAUUUCUGCCUACCAUCCUUAUAUUUCUCCUUUCUUGCUAAAAUUACCUACUUCACAGGAUGUGAGAAUUAAAUGAGAUAUGUGUCACUUUGUUUAGCACCAAAGAAACACUAAAUAAGUAUUGUCAAGUUGAAAUCUGAAUAGUGCUUUUCUUCUUCUCCCUGUCUUCCUUCUCCUUUUCCCAUCCUCACCUGCUUUCUUGGUGCUUACUGAGAACUGACUGUGUCCCCUGGACUGGGGCAGAGGUGGCCCUGCUCUCCAGGAGCUUUGCUUAUUCACUUACUCAACCAGUAUUUAUUGAACUCCAACUUGUACCAGUCUGUCUUCCAGCCCUGAAGACUCAGUGUUGAGGAUGAAAAAGUCCCUGUUUACAUCCAAGGGUUAAUACACCAAUACAUUAAUCAAUCCAUAGUAUAACCUUGAGUACUAUUAAGCGCUACAAAGAAAGACAAAGAAGGCUAAAGGGAUGGAGAAUGGUGGAAGUGAGUUGGAGGCUAUUUUACAUGGAUACAUCAAGAAAGCCUCUCUGGAGAAAGUGGCAUUUGGGCAGAGUCCUGAAUGAGGUGAGGAGGUGGCCCAUGAGAGGAUCCAGGCAGAGGAUGAGGCAGGGGCACAGGAAACAGCAUGUGCAAAGGCCCUGAGGUGAGCACAAGCUUGGCAUGGUCUCAGGAAAACAAAAAGAUCAGAAGGGUAUGGUCUCAGGAAAACAAAAAUAUAGUGAGCUGGGAGAAGGUUGUCACACAGGAGCCUGGAGGCAUGGGGUGAGGAGAAGAUCACAUAGGGCCUCAUGGGGCAUGCUAUGAAGUUUGUUCAGAUUGUAUUCCAGGAUUGAUGGGAAGCUAUUGGAGAGUUUUGAGUCCUUAUAUUGUUUAUGUGCUUUAAAAGGAUCACUUUAGCCACUGGAGAAUACAGAAGAGCAAGAGCAGAGGCCCCAACCAGGGGGCUAGUAUAGGGACGGAGAGGCAGUAUAACACAGUGGGGAAGCCUCCAGGGCCAGACUGCCAGGGUUUGAAGCAUGUCUGCCAUUGAUGAGCAGCAUGAGCAUGGACAAGUUAAAUAACUCACCUGCACUUCACUUCUCUCAUCUAUAAAAUGGAGAUGUAAUAGGGUUACCACAUUGUACAACUCCAGAAUCUCCCCCUGGAGUCCGACGAGUGCAGCGUGCACAGUGCCACUCAGAGCUGUGCAAUGCAGCGGUCUCCAUCAUGAGUCCUACCUUGUUGUGUUACCAUGAAGAUUAAGGCAUAACACACAUGUAAAGUGUGUAGAACAAUGCCUGGUACCCAAGAAUAUCUCAAAAAUAUCUGUUAUUAUUCGUAGCUGAGGUGAGAGAUGAUGGUAAGUGGAUUAAAGUCGUUACAGUGGGGGUGUUGAAAAGUGAUAAAAUUUGAAAUGAAAUUUGAAGAAAGAGCUUGUGCUGGUUCCCAGGGCACAACCACUAAUGAUGAUGGAAUUCAGAAGCACAUCCUUGCCAGGACUUCUAGGUGGGUUUCUUAGUAUGAUUCUAUUUUGGAGCUGAAUUUCUCAGAAUCUUCCCCACCAGGAUGUUUUCCACCUAAAACAAUGAGUGGAUGUAGUACAUAUUUUAUAGAGUGAUUAUGAGAUUUAAACAGGAUCUUGCAUGUAAAUACCCUAACUUAGUGCCUAGUACAUUGUAAGUUUCAAUGACCGUUAGCUAUCAUCGUCAUCAUCAUCUGAGCAGCUCAAUGUUUCUGCUUAAUGCAGGCACAUACCUACAACUCCACAGAAGAGAGAUAGCAGCAGUUUUCCCCUCUUGUGAGGAGAGCUAAAGAGAACAGAAGCAUUUGGGAAUUAAGGUCCUGAGGCCAUAGUGUCCCUAAAGGAGGCCUGUUGUUGUGCCCUCAGACACCCUCCAUGGCCCUCAAAAGGCCUGGAUAAGAACCAGCCCAACCAGGAAGAGAAGCACCGGAACCUAAAUAAAGACAUAGGAUUCAAAAGUUGAAGGAAGUACGGCUAAGUGGCAUGUGCAAGUUCACACAGCCAAUAGAAAAUGCAAUCGGGACCAGAAGCCACAUUUGCAGGACUUCAAAGCCAAGGUUCUUCCUACCACAAAACCAGGAUGCCCUCCUCUGCCACUGGAGUCUGCUGGACCAACCAGCAGCACAGGCAAUGGCUAUUGCUUUUGGUUAUAGCAUCAACGCAAUCUAUCUAAGUUGUGUUUUUGUUUUUUUGUUUUUUUUUUUUUGAGAGGGAGUCUCACUCUGUUGCCCAGGCUGGAGUGCAGUGGUGCGAUCUUGGCUCACUGCAAUCUCCACCUCCCAGGUUCAAGCGAUUUUCCUGCCUCAGCCUCUGCAACAGCUGGGACUACAAGCGCGUGCCACCACGUCGGGCUAAAUUUUUUUUUUUUUUUUUGUAUUUUUAGUAGAGACAAAGUUUCACCAUGUUGGCCAGGCUGGUCUCAAAUUCCUGACCUCGUGAUCUGCCCACCUCAGCCUCCCAAAGUGCUGGGAUUACAGGUGUGAGCCACCAUGCCUGGCCCAAUCUAUCUAAGUUUUUCUGUGGAAAAGUAGAAUUAUCUGCUGAAUAAUAAAACACCUUUUAGAUAAAAUUGCAUUAUGGUUUUCAAACUUCUUGAAUCCAUAUUAUUUAUUUCUUACCACAAUCCUAUAGAUAUCAUUAUUAGGGAUUAUG
rnacentral:lncRNA from 10 species